AACGAACGCUGGCGGCGUGCUUAACACAUGCAAGUCGAACGGAAAGGCCCUGCUUUUGUGGGGUGCUCUAGUUGCGAACGGGUGAGUAACACUUGAGUAACCUGUCCUUGACUUUGGGAUAACUUCAGGACGCUGGGUCUAUUACCGGAUAGGAUCUCCUGCUUCUGGGUGGGGGUUGGAAAGUUUCGCUGGUUGGGGAUGGACUCGCCGCUUAUCAGCUUGUUGGUUGGGUAGUGGCUUACCAAGGCGUUGACGGGUAGCCGGCCUGAGAGGGUGACCGGACACAUUGGGACUGAAAUGCGGCCCAGACUCCUACGGGAGGCAGCAGUGGGGAAGAUUGCACAAUGGGAGGAGGCAUAGUGUAGCACAGCAGCGUGGGGGAUGACGGCAUUCGGGUUGUAAACCGAUUUCGCCUGUGACGAAGCGUGAGUGACGGUAAUGGGUAAAGAAGCACCGGCUAACUACGUG
rnacentral:rRNA from 1 species